rnacentral:rRNA from 1 species
AUUGAACGCUGGCGGCAGGCCUAACACAUGCAAGUCGAGCGGGGUUUUCGGACCUAGCGGCGGACGGGUGAGUAAUGCGUAGGAAGCUACCCGAUAGAGGGGGAUACCAGUUGGAAACGACUGUUAAUACCGCAUAAUGUCUACGGACCAAAGUGUGGGACCUUCGGGCCACAUGCUAUCGGAUGCGCCUACGUGGGAUUAGCUAGUUGGUGGGGUAAUGGCUCACCAAGGCGACGAUCCCUAGCUGGUUUGAGAGGAUGAUCAGCCACACUGGAACGGAGACACGGGCCAGACUCCUACGGGAGGCAGCAGUGGGGAAUAUUGGACAAUGGGCGCAAGCCUGAUCCAGCCAUGCCGCGUGUGUGAAGAAGGCCUUCGGGUUGUAAAGCACUUUCAGUAGGGAGGAAGAGUUGAGUGUUAAUAGUACUCAGCUUUGACGUUACCUACAGAAGAAGCACCGGCUAACUCUGUGCCAGCAGCCGCCGUAAAAC